rnacentral:rRNA from 1 species
UGGGGAAUUUGGACAAUGGGCGAAAGCCUGAUCCAGCAAUGCCGCGUGUGUGAAGAAGGCCUUCGGGUUGUAAAGCACUUUUGUCCGGAAAGAAAUCCUUGGCUCUAAUACAGUCGGGGGAUGACGGUACCGGAAGAAUAAGCACCGGCUAACUACGUGCCAGCAGCCGCGGUAAUACGUAGGGUGCAAGCGUUAAUCGGAAUUACUGGGCGUAAAGCGUGCGCAGGCGGUUUGCUAAGACCGAUGUGAAAUCCCCGGGCUCAACCUGGGAACUGCAUUGGUGACUGGCAGGGCUAGAGUAUGGCAGAGGGGGGUAGAAUUCCACGUGUAGCAGUGAAAUGCGUAGAGAUGUGGAGGAAUACCGAUGGCGAAGGCA